rnacentral:rRNA from 1 species
GACGAACGCUGGCGGCGUGCUCAACACAUGCAAGUCGAACGGAAAGGCCCUGCUUUUGUGGGGUGCUCGAGUGGCGAACGGGUGAGUAACACGUGAGUAACCUGCCCUUGACUUUGGGAUAACUUCAGGAAACUGGGGCUAAUACCGGAUAGGAGCUCCUGCUGCAUGGUGGGGGUUGGAAAGUUUCGGCGGUUGGGGAUGGACUCGCGGCUUAUCAGCUUGUUGGUGGGGUAGUGGCUUACCAAGGCUUUGACGGGUAGCCGGCCUGAGAGGGUGACCGGCCACAUUGGGACUGGGAUACGGCCCAGACUCCUACGGGAGGCAGCAGUGGGGAAUAUUGCACAAUGGGCGGAAGCCUGAUGCAGCAGCGCCGCGUGCGGGAUGACGGCCUUCGGGUUGUAAACCGCUUUCGCCUGUGACGAAGCGUGAGUGACGGUAAUGGGUAAAGAAGCACCGGCUAACUACGUG